GUGAGUCAUCGAAUCUUUGAACGCAUAUUGCACUCCUUGGCAUUCCGAGGAGUAUGCCUGUUUCAGUAUCAGAAAUCUACAAUCGAAGAAGUUUCUUCGGAUCUGGGUCUCGUAUAGUUCAUGUUCUCUCCUUGGAGAGACGUUGUUGAACGUACUGGCCUGAAAUACAUGAUCUUGUCCCUUGUUUUACACCUCGACUUUUUCCAAAAAGGCGUCAUAGUUGACCGUGGUCAUCUUUCGCUGUUGGUGAAGUCGGUACGGUCUUGGGCUUGAUCGAGGGUGUGGCAGUUUCGCGCAAAU
rnacentral:misc_RNA from 1 species